AGCUAGGCCUAACAUUGUUAGGUCGCCAGCUUCUUAGAGGGACUAUCGGUGUUUAACCGAUGGAAGUUUGAGGCAAUAACAGGUCUGUGAUGCCCUUAGAUGCUCUGGGCCGCACGCGCGCUACACUGAUGAAGUCAUCGAGUUCAUUUCCUUUAUCGGAAGAUAUGGGUAAUCUUUUGGAACUUCAUCGUGCUGGGGAUAGAGCAUUGCAACUAUUGCUCUUGAACGAGGAAUCCCUAGUAAGUACAAGUCACUAACUUGUGCUGAUUACGUCCCUGCCCUCUGUACACACCGCCCGUCGCUACUACCGAUUGAAUGGCUUAGUGAGGCCUUCGGAUUGAAAUUCGGAGACUGGCAACAGACUCUUGGUUUUGAAAAGUUGGACAAACUUGGUCAUUUAGAGGAAGUAAAAGUCGUAACAAGGUUUCCGUAGGUGAACCUGCGG
rnacentral:rRNA from 1 species